rnacentral:rRNA from 1 species
ACACAUGCAAGUCGAACGGCAGCACGGGAGCAAUCCUGGUGGCGAGUGGCGAACGGGUGAGUAAUAUAUCGGAACGUGCCCAGUCGUGGGGGAUAACGCAGCGAAAGCUGUGCUAAUACCGCAUACGAUCUCUGGAUGAAAGCGGGGGACUCGCAAGGGCCUCGCGCGAUUGGAGCGGCCGAUAUCAGAUUAGCUAGUUGGUGGGGUAAAGGCCCACCAAGGCGACGAUCUGUAGCUGGUCUGAGAGGACGACCAGCCACACUGGAACUGAGACACGGUCCAGACUCCUACGGGAGGCAGCAGUGGGGAAUUUUGGACAAUGGGCGCAAGCCUGAUCCAGCAAUGCCGCGUGCAGGAUGAAGGCCUUCGGGUUGUAAACUGCUUUUGUACGGAACGAAACGGUCUGCCUUAAUACGGUGGGCUAAUGACGGUACCGUAAGAAUAAGCACCGGCUAACUACGUGCCAGCAGCCGCGGUAAUACGUAGGGUGCGAGCGUUAAUCGGAAUUACUGGGCGUAAAGCGUGCGCAGGCGGUUAUAUAAGACAGAUGUGAAAUCCCCGGGCUCAACCUGGGACCUGCAUUUGUGACUGUAUAGCUAGAGUACGGUAGAGGGGGAUGGAAUUCCGCGUGUAGCAGUGAAAUGCGUAGAUAUGCGGAGGAACACCGAUGGCGAGGGCAAUCCCCUGGACCUGUACUGACGCUCAUGCACGAAAGCGUGGGGAGCAAACAGGAUUAGAUACCCUGGUAGUCCACGCCCUAAACGAUGUCAACUGGUUGUUGGGUCUUCACUGACUCAGUAACGAAGCUAACGCG